UAGGGAAUCUUCCGCAAUGGGCGAAAGCCUGACGGAGCAACGCCGCGUGAGUGAUGAAGGUCUUCGGAUCGUAAAACUCUGUUAUUAGGGAAGAACAAAUGUGUAAGUAACUAUGCACGUCUUGACGUUACCUAAUCAGAAAGCCACGGCUAACUACGUGCCAGCAGCCGCGGUAAUACGUAGGUGGCAAGCGUUAUCCGGAAUUAUUGGGCGUAAAGCGCGCGUAGGCGGUUUUUUAAGUCUGAUGUGAAAGCCCACGGCUCAACCGUGGAGGGUCAUUGGAAACUGGAAAACUUGAGUGCAGAAGAGGAAAGUGGAAUUCCAUGUGUAGCGGUGAAAUGCGCAGAGAUAUGGAGGAACACCAGUGGCGAAGGCGACUUUCUGGUCUGUAACUGACGCUGAUGUGCGAAAGCGUGGGGAUCAAACAGG
rnacentral:rRNA from 1 species